rnacentral:rRNA from 1 species
UAUCCCGAGUAGCAUGGGACACGUGGAAUCCCGUGUGAAUCAGCGAGGACCACCUCGUAAGGCUAUAAUACUCCUGAGUGACCGAUAGUGAAAGAGUACCGCGAGGGAAAGGUGAAAAGUACCCCCGUAGGGGAGUGAAAUAGAACAUGAAACCGUAUGCUGACAAGCAGUGGGAGGGGUUAUGGCCCUGACCGCGUGCCUGUUGAAGAAUGAGCCGGCGACUUAGAGGGAGUGGCUUAAGGUUAAGGAGUUGUAUCCGGAGCCAACGCGAAAGCGAGUCUGAAUAGGGCGUUUAAGUCAUUUCCUCUGGACCCGAACCCGGGUGAUCUAAUCAUGACCAGGAUGAAGCUUGGGUAACACUAAGUGGAGGUCCGAACCGACCGAUGUUGAAAAAUCGGCGGAUGAGUUGUGAUUAGGGGAGAAAUUCCAAUCGAACUCGGAGCUAGCUGGAUCUCCCCGAAAUGCGUUGAGGCGCAGCGGCAACGAUGAGCUAUCAUGGGGUAAAGCUACUGUUUCGAUGCGGGCUGCGAAAGCGGUACCAAGUCGUGGCAAACUCAGAAUACAUGAUACUGUUUACCGUAAGCCAGUGAGACUGUCGGUGAUAAGAUCGAUAGUCAAGAGGGAAACAGCCCAGAUCACCAGCUAAGGCCCCUAAAUGGUUACUAAGUGGAAAAGGAUGUGAGAAUGCUGAAACAACCAGGAGGUUUGCUUAGAAGCAGCCACCCUUGAAAGAGUGCGUAAUAGCUCACUGGUAAAGCGUUCUUGCGCCGACAAUGGCCGGGACUAAGUAACCUGCCGAAGCUGUGAGAUUUCU